rnacentral:lncRNA from 1 species
UUACCAACUAACGAUAACCUGAACGAUCCUUCUUAGCAUCAUGUCAUCUCAAUCAAUCCCUCACUCGUGUUUUAUGACAUUGAGAAGACCUGCUCCCACCUCUGCAUGUCAAAGAUCAUCCAGACUACAUGCAUGCUUCUCGAUGACAUAUCGUCGCCACCAUAACCAACCGCCCUCAACUAACUAACUCCCUCUUGCUCUAUCCACGACCAAAGACACAACCGAGCAUUGUUGAAGGGUGGUUUUUUCUCUAAAGAACACUAACCCAAAUUGGGAUAAACCAAAAGCCCUAAGGUCGGCAUAGAAGGCAACUACCAAACUAAGGAUGCCACAACCAAUGUAUUUG